GAGAGGAACCACAGGUACAAACCAAUGGCACAAUACUUGUCCGAGCGGACAUUGGUAUGAAGCUACGUUUGCCGGAUUAUGCCUGAACGCCUCUAAGGUCGUAGCCGUGCCAGAACAACAGUUCAUCUAAAGGCUCUUAUACACAUUGUAUUGGUUAUAAUGGACGGGUACAUAUCUAUUCUCGUAAUAUUUUUGUACUCACCUAAAUCCAUUCUCAUAUUCUCCCAUGUGUCCACAUGUAUCAUAUGAAGCUAGUAAUUACGAUUAUGUUUUUGAACGCUCCGAUACGACUUGUGGUCAAUCAUGGAUAAUGCUAUGUUAGAGCCUGAACCCCUCGCAAACGACGAGGAUUCAAGCGGAGUGUCGUAAGUUGUAGAGAAUAUUUCAUUCGAUCUUCUAAGGCUACUCUAGCUUGGCGGUUC
rnacentral:rRNA from 1 species